GUUUUAAUAGUUUAAUAAAAACAUUGGUUUUGUAUACCAUAUAUAUAUAUAUAUAAUAUAUUUAAAACA
rnacentral:tRNA from 1 species